rnacentral:tRNA from 1 species
GCGGUCUUGGUGGAAUAGGUAGACACGAUACUANNCUACGAAUUUAGUAUUGUCCGCAAAGACAUGAAGGUUCAAAUCCUUCAGACCGUACCA